rnacentral:tRNA from 1 species
UGAAAAUAAAGUACAAAGUACAUUUUAGUUACAUUAAAAAGGUUUAUAUAGUUAUAAUAUUUUCA